rnacentral:rRNA from 1 species
UACGUAGGUGACAAGCGUUGUCCGGAUUUACUGGGCGUAAAGCGCACGUAGGCGGACUAUUAAGUCAGGGGUGAAAUCCCGGGGCUCAACCCCGGAACUGCCUUUGAUACUGGUAGUCUCGAGUCCGGAAGAGGUGAGUGGAAUUCCGAGUGUAGAGGUGAAAUUCGUAGAUAUUCGGAGGAACACCAGUGGCGAAGGCGGCUCACUGGUCCGGUACUGACGCUGAGGUGCGAAAGCGCGGGGAGCAAACAGG